AAUUUCCCCAGUGUGGGACGAAUAAAGGAUAUCUUAUCUUAUCUUAUCAAACACUUACUUAUGUUGUUUUAUGGUAAAUAGUUAAACGCUUAUAAAUAUAGACAAUCAGAGAUUGGAACUUUUUGUUGACCUUGUUUUGAGAUGGGUCUUUGUUUUUGUACUUUGUAAUUUAUUUUUUGUAGCACUUCGUGUUGUACUCCAUGUUGAGUAUGUUCAGAAGAAUAUAAAUAAAGCCAUAUAAAUAAUAAA